UGGGGAAUAUUGGGCAAUGGGGGGAACCCUGACCCAGCAACGCCGCGUGGAGGAAGAAGGUUUUCGGAUCGUAAACUCCUGUCCUUGGAGACGAGUAGAAGACGGUAUCCAAGGAGGAAGCCCCGGCUAACUACGUGCCAGCAGCCGCGGUAAUACGUAGGGGGCAAGCGUUGUCCGGAAUAAUUGGGCGUAAAGGGCGCGUAGGCGGCUCGGUAAGUCUGGAGUGAAAGUCCUGCUUUUAAGGUGGGAAUUGCUUUGGAUACUGUCGGGCUUGAGUGCAGGAGAGGUUAGUGGAAUUCCCAGUGUAGCGGUGAAAUGCGUAGAGAUUGGGAGGAACACCAGUGGCGAAGGCGACUAACUGGACUGUAACUGACGCUGAGGCGCGAAAGUGUGGGGAGCAAACAGGAUUAGAUACCCUGGUAGUCCACACUGUAAACGAUGAAUGCUAGGUGUAGGGGGUAUCGACCCCUUCUGUGCCGCAGUCAACACAAUAAGCAUUCCGCCUGGGGAGUACGGCCGCAAGGUUGAAACUCAAAGGAAUUGACGGGGGCCCGCACAAGCAGCGGAGCAUGUGGUUUAAUUCGACGCAACGCGAAGAACCUUACCAGGUCUUGACAUCCACUUAAACUUACAGAGAUGUAAGGUGUGCUUGCACAAAGUGAGACAGGUGGUGCAUGGUUGUCGUCAGCUCGUGUCGUGAGAUGUUGGGUUAAGUCCCGCAACGAGCGCAACCCUUAUCUUCAGUUACUAACGCGUGAAGGUGAGGACUCUGAAGAGACUGCCGGGGACAACUCGGAGGAAGGUGGGGACGACGUCAAAUCAUCAUGCCCCUUAUGACCUGGGCUACACACGUGCUACAAUGGCCACGACAGAGAGAAGCGAAAUCGUAAGGUAGAGCGGAACUCAAAAAAGUGGUCCCAGUUCGGAUUGUGGGCUGCAACCCGCCCACAUGAAGUCGGAGUUGCUAGUAAUCGCGGAUCAGCAUGCCGCGGUGAAUACGUUCCC
rnacentral:rRNA from 1 species